rnacentral:lncRNA from 1 species
CUCCAUUGCCACCUCUGGAAUUGUCUCCCAUGGAAUAGUUGGUGGAUGAGCUUGAGUACUCUCCACACCACUCUGUUAGGAUACAUACCAAGGUUCCUAUGUUUCGCAUCGUUCCUUUCAACCCAUAAGAACCAAAAAAUGAAUAAAGGCAUUAACGUGCGUAUGUGUCCUCUUUUCGUAUAAUCUCCGGAGUACAGCCAUGCCCACAUAAUCUGUUUAACAGUCUGGGGAUGAAUAGUGUUGAUUUGGAAGAAUUUCGUGAAAUAAAUCCAAACCUGUACGGCAAUUGGGCAUUCCCACAUGACAUGCAAGAGAGACUCCUCUGAAUU